AUGAUGGAUCCGGGUGAGGGUUCCUCGUCAACAUCGAAGUCAAGAAAGCAAAGAUUUCGUGAUGCAUGGAUUGAGCAGCCGGAAUUUCAGGGCUGGUUGGCUGCAGUCCCUGGGGAUCCGUUCAGGGCGUUCUGCAAAGUUUGCAGCGCUAGUAUGGUCGCUGGCAGUAGCGAGCUUAAAAAGCACGCUGAAAGGCAAGGCCACAAGAAAGCCAUGUUAGGCCUCCAGAAACAACACCUCCUAACAGGGUUCAUCCAGAAAAAGCCAAAAGACUCCAUGGAUGACAAGGUGAAGAUGGCAGAGAUCAAGCUUUCUGCGUUUAUCACGGAACACUCCCUGUCAUUCAAAGCGAUGGACCACAUGGGCGAGCUCGUGAAAACGGUGUUUCCUGAUUCUAAAAUCGCAGAACAGGUGAGACUUCACAAGACGAAAUGCACAUCAAUUGUAAAAAAUGUGCUAGCAAAGGCAGAAGUGCAGAGCCUUUCCGCCAUACUAAGAGAAACGCGGUUUUCUCUUUUCGUCGAUGAGGGCACGGAUGUCUCGAGCACAAAGCUCCUCUGCUGCGUCGUACGUUAUUAUUGCGAUGCUGUAGAUGAUGUCAUCACGCAGCUGCUUGAAGUUAUUCCCCUCGACGCCACGAGUUGCUCCGCAGAGUCCCUCGCAACUGCUGUUGAGCAGUGCUUAAACCACAAGGAGAUUCUAAUGAAAAACAUUAUCGCACUGGCUUGCGAUAACGCUAGCGUGAUGGUCGGCGAACACAACUCUUUGAUGACCCGACUGCGCGCGAACGCGGACAGAAGCUUUGUGACCAUCAGGUGCAUCUGCCACUCUUUACACAUCGCUGCCAGCAAAGCUGCCAUGAAGCUACCGCGGAAUCUUGAAGAUCUGCUGAAGAAUGUCGCGAGUUACUUCGGGCAUAGUUGCAAGCGUCAAGCUCAGCUUGCUGAUCUGCAGGAAUACCUUAAAACAGAGAAGCACAGAAUCCUAAGGCCCAGCGAAAUGCGGUGGCUGGCACUGCAAAAAUGCGUCGAGCGCGUCCUUCAGGAAUGGGACACAUUGAAGUUGCUUUUCUUGCAAGCGUCUGUAGAGGACAGAGUUGCAGCUGCAGGGCAGAUCUUGGCCGAAAUGAACCCAAUUAAUGAGGCGUAUUUGAAGUUCAUGGCCUACGUCUUGGGAUUUUUCAACAAAAUGAACGCUCUGUUUCAGAGCAAAGAGAACGUCAUUGCUGUUAUGCAGCAAGAAAGCCUGAGGCUCAUUCGAUGCCUCUGCCAAAAUUUCAUGCGACCGGAAGCAAUUCAAGAUGUCGAGAAGCUCAACCCCAUGGAUCCGCGUUCUCUUCUUCCGCUGGAGGAAGUAUAUCUCGGAGAGAGCUGCCAAGAGCUUCUUCAAAGCAUGGAAGGGGGGAGCUCGGAUAUCAAGCACGUGAGGCUGCGGUGUCUGGAGUUCUACCAGACGGCUGUCUUCGAGGUGAAGAAAAGGCUCCCAGUUUCCGGACCAUUCUACCACGAGGUACAAUUCGUCCAACCCAGCACAGCAUUGAGCUACGAAGCUCGUAAACAGCUGCCCGUGCUGCCAGUCCUGCAAAGGCGGUACACACACUUGUUGCCACGCGCCGAUGCUCUGCAAGGGGAAUGGCGAAUGCUGCCUUCUUUUUUCACUGAAUCCGAGAAGGCACUUCUGCGAGAAAAGCCCGCCGCUUCAUUCUGGGGCGAAAUGUCCAAGCUAAAAAAACUUCGAAGGCAAGCCCGAAUUCGAAAACAUCGCUUGCCUGGCAAAGUUGGUGCUAACACUGCCGCACUCCAAUGCUGAAACGGAAAGAAUAUUUUCCCUACUGACAGACGUGAAGACGAGGAAAAGAAACCGCCUUGCUCCGGACAGCAUCAACGCAGUGCUUGUCGUGAAAUCUGGCAUGACUGCAAGGUCAGAGACAUGCACUAAUUUCAAGGUGGAAAAGAAGCACAUGAAGUUGUUCACCAGCGAAAUUUAUAAGGCGUAACGCAAGCAGACCAACUCGUCAUCAAAACUUUAUUCUCCCAUCUCAUGAAACAACCUUUCAAAUUUUAUUGUAGACGGUGGCGACACUAUUUCGCGUAUCAUUGUCCUCAGCUUUUCCAAAGGGUGCUAUAUUGUGUUACGACUGGCAAGCCAUUUUAAUCCUUUGUGUAUGCGUGCAUAAACUGUAAAUAUAAUCAUGUCCGUCAUGUACUUUUUUAUUGGUGUUUCCCGACAUUUCGUUUUUCCCUUUUACUGGUUAUAUACUCGUCAAUCUGUGCUUUGUUGUUAUACAGUGUUAUGCUCUUCGCCUUCCUGAACUGUCUAUAAGGGCGAAAUAAUUAAAUAGUUAAAGAAGCAUGUUUGUUAACGAAGGGACCUUAUAACGUGACUGUUCUU
rnacentral:sRNA from 1 species